GACAGUGCGAUAGGGGGAUCCCAAGUGCACAGGCAUAGCGCCUGUGCUUUUCGGUACCGUAAAGGUGGUACCAGAAUAAGGGCUGGGCAAGACCGGUGCCAGCCGCCGCGGUAAUACCGGCAGCCCGAGUGAUGGCCGAUCUUAUUGGGCCUAAAGCGUCCGUAGCUGGCCGCGCAAGUCCAUCGGGAAAUCCACCCGCUCAACAGGUGGGCGCCCGGUGGAAACUGUGCGGCUUGGGACCGGAAGGCGCGACGGGUACGUCCGGGGUAGGAGUGAAAUCCCGUAAUCCUGGACGGACCGCCGAUGGCGAAAGCACGUCGCGAGAACGGAUCCGACAGUGAGGGACGAAAGCCAGGGUCUCGAACCGGAUUAGAUACCCGGGUAGUCCUGGCCGUAAACAAUGUCUGCUAGGUGUGGCUCCCACUACGAGUGGGUGCUGUGCCGUAGGGAAGCCGCUAAGCAGACCGCCUGGGAAGUACGUCCGCAAGGAUGAAACUUAAAGGAAUUGGCGGGGGAGCACUACAACCGGAGGAGCCUGCGGUUUAAUUGGACUCAACGCCGGACAUCUCACCAGCAUC
rnacentral:rRNA from 1 species